GUACUUAAUUGCUUCUGCAGUACAUAUAAUAAAUUGGACCGAUAGAGAGAAGAUUAGCAUGGCCCCUGCGCAUGGAUGACACGCAUUAAAAAAAAUUGGAACUGUUUCGU